GUGCUGGCUUCGGCAGCACAAAUACUGAAAUGGGAACGAUACAGAGAAGAUCGGCAUGGCCCCUAAGCAAGGGUGACACACAAACGCGUGAAGCAUUCCAUAUUUUG